GUGGGGAAUCUUCCGCAAUGGACGAAAGUCUGACGGAGCAACGCCGCGUGAGUGAUGACGGCCUUCGGGUUGUAAAGCUCUGUUAAUCGGGACGAAAGGCCUUCUUGCGAAUAGUGAGAAGGAUUGACGGUACCGGAAUAGAAAGCCACGGCUAACUACGUGCCAGCAGCCGCGGUAAUACGUAGGUGGCAAGCGUUGUCCGGAAUUAUUGGGCGUAAAGCGCGCGCAGGCGGAUAGGUCAGUCUGUCUUAAAAGUUCGGGGCUUAACCCCGUGAUGGGAUGGAAACUGCCAAUCUAGAGUAUCGGAGAGGAAAGUGGAAUUCCUAGUGUAGCGGUGAAAUGCGUAGAUAUUAGGAAGAACACCAGUGGCGAAGGCGACUUUCUGGACGAAAACUGACGCUGAGGCGCGAAAGCCAGGGGAGCGAACGGGAUUAGAUACCCUAGUAGUCC
rnacentral:rRNA from 1 species